GUGCGCAUAGCUCAGCUGGAUAGAGCGUCUGACUACGGAUCAGAAGGCCGAGGGUUCGAAUCCUUCUGUGCACG
rfam:Clostridium lentocellum DSM 5427, complete genome.